UAUCAAUCUUCUCUUCCUUUCCUUUCUCCCUCUUCUCUCCUUUCUCUUUCCUCCUCAGCGGCGGAACUCUUUUUUACAAUCUUCUUCUUCUUCAUUCACUGAAUCACUGUCCAAUUUAAUAACAAUAAGAUUCAAGAAUCCACUGAUGAUAACAAAGAAGAAAAUCUUAGAUCAUUUUCUUAAUCUACAGUAAAUCACGACGACAAAGAUGAGAAAACAAAUCGAAAGUGUUGCUGAUGCGGUAUUCUUUGCUGAAGAUGGUUACUCAAUUGUUGGUUUUAAGGUUACAUAUUAGGGGGGUUUGUUCUGUUGGAUUUAGGGUUACAGAUUAGGGGUUUGUUUUGUUAGAUUUAGGGUUACAGAUUAAUGGUUUCUCUAUGGUGAAAACGGGGACUACUUUGGUUUGUAUGAUUUUGUAGGUGAUGCCCAAGUUCUUGAAAGGUUUGGAAGCUCGGGAUCAAGGUUACUUGUUCUCAAGAGACUGAAUCACAUUAUUGAAAGCCUAGUAGUAUGACAGAAGAAAGCUGCUCAAGAAGCCACUAUAACCUCAGCUGCAGGAGAAAGUAUUAUUGAGCUUAAGGUCAAGACCUUGGGUUCACAGAUCUGAAAACUCCGUGUUGAAAAAAAAUGUUGGUGUCCAAGCAUCGAAAAUGCAAAUGUGUAAUACCAAAGGUAGAAGGUUACGCAGUUGGUGGAGUACAAGUAUUGGUAUUGUAGAUGGUUAUUGAAUUAACAGUAGCUGCUGCAAUGUCAUUUUUAUCCAGACAGGCCCAUAGGUGUGGAUGAAACAUGACAUGAUGCUGCAUUAUAGAUGUUACUAACGCAAUGGAUCAGAUGUUGCGAGUGUUUGUAAGAGAGUAUGUAAGAGGAGAAGAGCAUUAACAUGAGUCUGCAGUUAACCAUCAUUCUUGCUUCUGAUCUAUAGUUCUCUUUCGCUCAAUUGUCCUUAUUGAAGUUGGGCUUGUUUCUGUUUGGUUGCAGCUCACGAGUGUUUGCUUGAUCCUACACAUGGCAAAGGAUCAGAAGAUAGAUGAUGGUGGUCUUUGGAGCAGUUGCAGUAUAAAAUGUAUGUGUGGAAUAUGUAUGAAGAGGUUGGAGAACUUUAUCCAUGUUUUGAAGUUAUGGUGAGGUUAGGGAUUGUAGAUGUGAUAUGUAUGAAUUGCGGAUUGAAAGAGAAUAGAUUGCAGUUGUGUUUCAGGUUUAAUUGUACUGCAUGUUUGUAAACUAGAACAUUAAACUAGAACAUGAUGGUAGAAUCUGUGUAGUUUGUGGUUUAUUUGUAGUUCAGGCCUGUAAACUGAGAGUGCAGGUCCAUCAUCGUGACCUGUAUCGCAGGCCUGUAAACUGGAAGCCCGGAUCCAUGAAAAUCUGGGCUACCCAUUUUUUUUUAA